CACGGGGGGAGCAAGCGUUGUUCGGAAUUACUGGGCGUAAAGGGCUCGUAGGCGGCCAACUAAGUCGGACGUGAAAUCCCUCGGCUUAACCGGGGAACUGCGUCCGAUACUGGAUGGCUUGAGUUCGGGAGAGGGAUGCGGAAUUCCAGGUGUAGCGGUGAAAUGCGUAGAUAUCAGGAGGAACACCGGUGGCGAAGGCGGCUCUCUGGACCACAACUGACGCUGAGGCGCGAAAGCUAGGGGAGCAAACAGG
rnacentral:rRNA from 1 species